CAGGUAAGCUGGUCCAGGUGAGCUGGUCCAGGUAAGCUCAGGUGAGCUGGUCCAGGUGAGCUCAGGUGAGCUGGUCCAGGUAAGCUCAGGUGAGCUGGUUCAGGUGAGCUGGUCCAGGUGAGCUCAGGUGAGCUGGUCCAGGUAAGCUCAGGUGAG